GCACUGCUGAGGAAUCCCACAACAGGACGAAACGGCCGUCAAGUGC
rnacentral:hammerhead_ribozyme from 1 species